GACGAACGCUGGCGGCGUGCUUAACACAUGCAAGUCGAACGGAAAGGCCCUGCUUUUGUGGGGUGCUCGAGUGGCGAACGGGUGAGUAACACGUGAGUAACCUGCCCUUGACUUUGGGAUAACUUCAGGAAACUGGGGCUAAUACCGGAUAGGAGCUCCUGCUGCAUGGUGGGGGUUGGAAAGUUUCGGCGGUUGGGGAUGGACGCGCGGCUUAUCAGCUUGUUGGUGGGGUAGUGGCUUACCAAGGCUUUGAAGGGUAGCCGGCCUGAGAGGGUGGCCGGCCACAUUGGUACUGCGAUACGGCCCAGACUCCUACGGGAGGCAGCAGUGGGGAAUAUUGCACAAUGGGCGGAAGCCUGAUGCAGCAACGCCGCGUGCGGGAUGACGGCCUUCUGGUUGUAAACCGCUUUCGCCUGUGACGAAGCGUGAGUGACGGUAAUGGGUAAAGAAGCACCGGCUAACUACGUG
rnacentral:rRNA from 1 species